CUUUUUCUAGGUGGAACCUUCUCGGUGAUUUUCUCAGUGUUCUGCAGGUAUUCUCACGGUGAAUAAUAAUAUUUUGUACGUGACAUUUCAGCUGAUUCUAGGACAGUAACAUUUUUCUCGUUUUCUCUAUAAUAUGGACCGGAAAAGUAGCGACUGAUGACAGGUGGCCAUAGCAAACCAAACUAAACGAUUUAAUUUUUUACCGAUUUUACAUCACCUAUUUCUGUAAAUCGCAAAUAUGCAGCGGUCAAUCUAAUUUAAGUAAGUGUAUUAUAAUUAAUUAAUUGCCUUGAUAUUCUUUUCUUGCGCAUAAUUUAUAUUUUCGAAUUUUCGCAUUUACGAAAUUGACUCUUCAAGUACAGAUUUGCAAUUGUAAAUUACAUUUACAAAAACUACAGUUAAGGAACCACGUAUACGCUACGAGCGCUUCGUCCCGGAAGGCAUGGUCUUCAUUAAAAUUCGCUCAUCUGCAUUCAACGGACUCGCAGAUUUCCAGAUCGGGGGAGGAAGGAAGUAACGAAAACCACGUUUCAACGAAAAUGUACCAGUCGACACGGAUUCGCACUCUGGAGCCAGGAACUGAGCCAAGGAACCGUGAGAAUGAGAGGGAGUGCGCGCGCGCGUGCGGAAAGGGCGGUAGGGAGGUGCACUGCUCCUGAUCACGAGGAUCACCGGAUCGUGGAUGGAGCAAGGACACGAGUAGACGAGGAAGCCCCGCGGCUUUGAAGCGCGCGGAAGAAGGGAUCCGGAUCCCCACUAUUAAAUGGCCAGGCGGCCGAGCGAGGCAAGGAGGAGCUACAUUGGGGGCGGCUCGACACCAUCCGGCCUCAGUGCAAUUCCACCAUCCGCCAAGUUUAGUUACAUCAAGUGUACGGAGUUCCGGCAAGUGUUGGCCAUGAGUCCGGACAAAUCCGGCCGGAUGAUCGAAAAUUAAUUAAUAUGAGAGACGAGAAAGGAAACGACGCUGAUAAGGGUUGUUGAAGGAUCAAGAAUGUUUAUCCCCGUACAUCGUGGGAUCAUUUUAUUUUCAUUAUGGACGCAAGAUGAACGUUGAGAAAGAUAUGUCUGGGCUAUAAGAAAAGGCUUUGAGAAGAAAGAUUUUGUUAUGGAAACUAGUUCGAGUGUAGCGCUAACUCGUCUGAUUGCCGUAACUGUGCCGAGAUCCCAUAACGACAACCCUCCCUGCAGCUCGAGCGCACGAACGCGCAUGCUCGCGCGGACGAAUUAAUUAAUUAAUUUCACAUUUGUAAUUAAGCAGCGAAGAGGAACACACCUAGGCUCGCGUUCGUUUCGUCUCGCGGAGCGCGAUCGUGGAAAAGCGCGGCGUUCAAGUGGCCCGCCUGGAAAAUGCAGGUAAUUUGGUGAUUGUUCGAUGGCAAACAACUUGGGACUUUUGUUCUUUGAAUGAAGCGUGCGAAGAGGAGGCCAGAGGGAGAUCACGAAAAGUGUUCAACAUAAUGACACAGAGGCGGGAAUAUUAAACGAACGAGGCCGCGAGUGAUCUAGGCAAAAGGGAGCCGCGUUCCCACAAUUAAGCCUGUCUGCACCACAAAGAACGAGCGUACCUCUAGCUCGACUCGGUGGUAUCCGGGUGUGCGUCGAGCUGGCUGUUACAAAGGCGAGGAAAUCAUCACGCUGCUUCGUGAACGGUGUCGAUGCCUCGGAGUCGGAGUGAAAGAAGAACAAAACACGCGGGAAGUGUAAUCACAUCGCCGAAAUGGAUUCAGUCGAGAGAGCUCGCGAAGAAGCGAGCACGUACUGAAGAUUUCAAGAAAGAAUCCAAGGAGGAUUACAAGCGAGUGCGAUAAUAGGAAUCUAACUUCAAUUCGCCUACUUUACUAUCGAGAAGAAGAAGAAGAA